UACGGAGGGUGCAAACGUUGCUCGGAAUCAUUGGGCGUAAAGCGCACGUAGGCGGUCCGGCAAGUCGGAUGUGAAAUCCCUCGGCUCAACCGAGGAAGUGCAUUCGAAAACUGCCAGACUUGAGUAUGGAAGAGGGUCGCGGAAUUCCCGGUGUAGAGGUGAAAAUUCGUAGAUAUCGGGGAGGAACACCAGUGGCGAAGG
rnacentral:rRNA from 1 species